rnacentral:lncRNA from 1 species
UAUUUCUUAAAGUUUGCUUAUUUCUUAAGGGUCCUCGCAGUCCACUCUCAGAUGAUUUUCAAUUUUGUCAUACUUGAAUGAAGCGGGGCCACAUUAUUGGUCUGAACUGCUUUUUGCUGAGAUGUUCUGCCAGUUUCAACGGCAGCGGCGGUGCUACUGCUGUCCGUCGAAGCCAGAGAAAGAGGGAGGAAGUUAGGGGCUAGGGAGCACCCAGUGGUGGCGUGAAGCCACGGUCGUGGCUGGAACUUGCAGAGAGGAGUCAGGGGAGAAAUAGGGAGUCGGCGAUGGUGGCGCGCCGUCUGUGAGCGGGGAGCAGGGAGGUCGGCGGCAGUCGUGUCGCCGGAGUUUAGAAAGGGGCUUAGGGUCGAGCUCAGCGGCGGCGGCUCUCCACCCGUGCGGUCGCCAGGAUACGAGGCAAGGGCUGCGAUUUGAAAGAGAGAUGAGGGAGAACGAUGGCUCUUCGCCGGAGAUGAGUCGCGACAGUCAGAAGAGAAGAUAGAGAGAUCAGAGGGGCGAGAGACGGGGUGGUCGGAAAGGCGGCGACUUCGCCGGGAAGAAGG